rnacentral:rRNA from 1 species
CGUGUUGAUAUAACUCAACUCGGGUUGUCAGGUUGGGAGUUUGGCUGGGGCGGCACAACUGUCAAAUGAUAACGCAGGUGUUCUAAGGUGAGCUCAAUAAGAACGGAAAUCUCAUGUAGAACAAAAGGGUACAAGCUCACUUGAUUUUGAUUUUCAGUAUGAAUACAAACUGUGAAAGCAUGGCCUAUCGAUCCCUUAGUCUUUACGAGUUUUAAGCUAGGGGUGUCAGAAAAGUUACCUCACG